UACGUAGGGUGCAAGCGUUGUCCGGAAUUAUUGGGCGUAAAGAGCUCGUAGGCGGUUUGUCGCGUCUGCUGUGAAAUCCCAGGGCUUAACCCUGGGCCUGCAGUGGGUACGGGCAAACUAGAGUGCGGUAGGGGAGAUCGGAAUUCCUGGUGUAGCGGUGAAAUGCGCAGAUAUCAGGAGGAACACCCGUAGCGAAGGCGGCACUCUGGGCCGAUACUGACACUGAGGAGCGAAAGCGUGGGGAGCGAACAGG
rnacentral:rRNA from 1 species